CAGUCGCCGCGGUAAUACGAAGGGGGCUAGCGUUGUUCGGAUUUACUGGGCGUAAAGCGCACGUAGGCGGAUCCUUAAGUCAGAGGUGAAAUCCCAAGGCUCAACCUUGGAACUGCCUUUGAUACUGGGGAUCUCGAGUUCGGGAGAGGUGAGUGGAACUGCGAGUGUAGAGGUGGAAUUCGUAGAUAUUCGCAAGAACACCAGUGGCGAAGGCGGCUCACUGGCCCGAUACUGACGCUGAGGUGCGAAAGCGUGGGGAGCAAACAGGAUUAGAUACCCCUGUAGUCCCUGUCUCUUAUAC
rnacentral:rRNA from 1 species